AACGUCACGAAUCUACGAUCGGUAACGAGCACUUUCCAGGAAGAAAUUUUUUCCUAUGUAUUUUUAUAUUCUUGCUUAUGAAACAAUGAAUUGUUGAUUUAAUACUAAAUUUUUUCUGUGUAUAGAUAAAUAGUAGAGUCAGAUGAUACGAUCGUACAGUAAAAGUUCGAAACGAACAGCAGAGUUAACGUAAACCGAGAAGCAGCGUGCUCGUUGAAGGUGUGUACGUACAUUUUUUACCUAGAAAAAAAUUUCUUCGCGGAAAGUGUACUUGUUACCGAUCGUAGAUUCGUGACGUUCGGUGUCAAUUAGGCGGAGCGCGGCGCUGCUCCUGUAGUGAAGCAUCGCCGGCCGGCGGCGAGCGGACGUGCGGCCGAUCGGCUUCGUUUUCAUCGCGGUAGGUAGAUCCGGAAAGGAAAGCUUGAUUCUCGAUUUCGACACACGUGUGACCAUCGUGCGACCAGUAGGCCUCGCGAUAUGCGUCUUUCGACGACCGACGGGGAGCGACGGGCCAGCGCAGUCGACAGCCCGACGGGUCAGCAGUCGACGGGCCAGCGGCGGCGACCGUCUAUGCUACGCACAACGCAUUUCGGCGAACGCGACCCGCGCGCGCUCCGGUCUCGCUGCGUGUUUACCUCGGUACGUACGAGUCCAAUGUUUAUGUUGCGUGAGGUGACGAUCGUCCUGAGACGUAUGUUGACUCCGCUGUGCGCCGGGCGACACGAGUGGAGACCGCGAUGGCGUCGUGUUUGCUUGCGACCGACGUUUCGCGUUCGAUUUUCCUUCCAUGUACAGCGUUUUCGUGCUCAUCGUAAGUACAUCAGCACCGUGGAUAUUCGUACGAAAUAGCCAUCGCCCUGAGACGCGUACGUUAGAUCUUUCUCUCGCUCUCUCGCGGUAUGGCGUGAAGUUGGCAAAGGCUAACCUCUCUCGCCGCGAGUUUCGUCCGUCGCAACGUUCGUGUCGUUCAUACGCUCGCAUUCUUGCAAAACGAUGCGACGCGGCGUAAAGGUUAAGAUAACCCCGCGAAUAACUGCGAGCUCGGUCCAGCCAACGCAUCGCGCACCAGCUCGCGUGCUAUCAUCGAUGUUGAACGCAUUCCGUUUGUACGCGCCGCUACUUACGAGUUUUCGUGUGCGACAUGCGGAUGUUCCGACGGAUCGGGAUAUCGAUCUACGCUUUCGUAUCUGAAUCAUAACCUCGCGCGAUCGUGCGUUCCUUUCGCUACGUGGUGAUGUCGCUUCGCCGUAGUGCCGUCAACGAAGUGUCGCGCGUUACUUUGAUAAUUAGCGCGCGAUCGUAAUUAAUUUCUCGCGAGUGUUGUGUUGUGCAAUGACGACGAGACCUGAGAGGAGGCAGAGGCCCGGAGGCAUCGGGCAACGGCGGAACAACCCUGUGGAUAUAAAUUCUGUUGGUGCUGAGACGUGGAUCGUUGUACAAUACUUGAAGAAGGAAAUUUGGCUGCCUAUUACACUCUAAAAUUUUCAAAGAAAGACAAAGACUGCUUCGAUGUCACGGACACCGAACGCAGAUAUCUUGCUACGAGGGAUAUGACAACCAAAUUAUUGAAAUGUAUUGUGCAUGAUUCAGAGGAAAUGGCAGCGAUACUGUUAUGAAAGUGUCUCGAGAACUACCAUGAUCUAAUGAAAGACAAAAAUGGAGUAAACAAUUAUUGAAAAAAGAUUACAUCUCAAUCACAAGACGUAAAAAAUAAUCAGUCGAAGUGGAAGUAUGGGUUGGAAGAUGUAGAAACCACGCUAAACUUUUAUAAAACUUUUGGCUUGUCAGAAACUCAAUACUCUACCUUGCAAAAAAAAAUCUUCUUGUGAUAGGGAUAUAGAGAAAAUAAUAAAUAGCUUAAAAAAGAAGGAUAUGUUGGAAAAAAAGAGAAAAGUUUAUAGUUUCAAGCAGCUUCUAGUUCCAAUUCAAAUCAAGAAUUUUCAUUGAUGUCUAAGAACAAUAAGAAUUUUGAUAGCUACUUCGGUAACUAUUUUAAUACACGAUUUAUUUAAUUUACUCAUUUAUUUAUUUAGCGAUGUUAUUAAAAAAACGUAAAGAAAAACUAA